AUACGUAGGGGGCGAGCGUUGUCCGGAAUGAUUGGGCGUAAAGGGCGCGUAGGCGGCCCGGUAAGUCUGGAGUGAAAGUCCUGUUUUUAAGAUGGGAAUUGCUUUGGAUACUGUCGGGCUUGAGUGCAGGAGAGGUAAGUGGAAUUCCCAGUGUAGCGGUGAAAUGCGUAGAGAUUGGGAGGAACACCAGUGGCGAAGGCGACUUACUGGACUGUAACUGACGUUGAGGCGCGAAAGCGUGGGGAGCGAACAGGAUUAGAUACCCUGGUAGUCCACGCGGUAAACGAUGAAUGCUAGGUGUUGCGGGUAUCGACCCCUGCAGUGCCGGAGUAAACACAAUAAGCAUUCCGCCUGGGGAGUACGGCCGCAAGGUUGAAACUCAAAUGAAUUGACGGGG
rnacentral:rRNA from 1 species